UACAGACGGUCCAAACGUUAUUCGGAAUCACUGGGCUUAAAGAGCUCGUAGGCGGCCUGUCGCGUCGGAUGUGAAAGCCCGGGGCUUAACCCCGGGUCUGCAUUCGAUACGGGAAGGCUAGAGUUCGGUAGGGGAGAUCGGAAUUCCUGGUGUAGCGGUGAAAUGCGCAGAUAUCAGGAGGAACACCGGUGGCGAAGGCGGAUCUCUGGGCCGAUACUGACGCUGAGGAGCGAAAGCGUGGGGAGCGAACAGG
rnacentral:rRNA from 1 species